rnacentral:rRNA from 1 species
GUGGGGAAUCUUGCGCAAUGGGCGAAAGCCUGACGCAGCCAUGCCGCGUGAAUGAUGAAGGUCUUAGGAUUGUAAAAUUCUUUCACCGGGGACGAUAAUGACGGUACCCGGAGAAGAAGCCCCGGCUAACUUCGUGCCAGCAGCCGCGGUAAUACGAAGGGGGCUAGCGUUGCUCGGAAUUACUGGGCGUAAAGGGCGCGUAGGCGGACAGCUUAGUCAGAGGUGAAGGCCCAGGGCUCAACCUUGGAAUUGCCUUUUAUACUGGCUGUCUUGAGUUUGGGAGAGGUGAGUGGAACUCCGAGUGUAGAGGUGAAAUUCGUAGAUAUUCGGAAGAACACCAGUGGCGAAGGCGACUCACUGGCCCAAUACUGACGCUGAGGCGCGAAAGCGUGGGGAGCAAACAGGAUUAGAUACCCCGGUAGUCC